ACGCCCGUAAACAUUUUUGUUAACUGCUUGAGUUGCUUAUCUAUAACUAAUUUAUGUACAUUAUCUAUGUAUUUAUUUCAGCUCGAGCAGUCUAACAGAGCGGAGCUCUCUGUU